AUUGAACGCUGGCGGCAUGCCUUACACAUGCAAGUCGAACGGCAGCACGGGUGCUUGCACCUGGUGGCAAGUGGCGAACGGGUGAGUAAUACAUCGGAACAUGUCCUGUAGUGGGGGAUAGCCCGGCGAAAGCCGGAUUACUACCGCAUACGAUCUACGUAUGAAAGCGGGGGACCUUCGGGCCUCGCGCUAUAGGGUUGGCCGAUGGCUGAUUAGCUAGUUGGUGGGGUAAAGGCCUACCAAGGCGACGAUCAGUAGCUGGUCUGAGAGGACGACCAGCCACACUGGGACUGAGACACGGCCCAGACUCCUACGGGAGGCAGCAGUGGGGAAUUUUGGACAAUGGGCGAAAGCCUGAUCCAGCAAUGCCGCGUGUGUGAAGAAGGCCUUCGGGUUGUAAAGCACUUUUGUCCGGAAAGAAAUCCUUGGCCCUAAUACGGUCGGGGGAUGACGGUACCGGAAGAAUAAGCACCGGCUAACUACGUG
rnacentral:rRNA from 1 species